CCCUCACACUCACUGUAAGGUUAGGCAACUUCAAAGUUUCCAGAAUCAUCUCUCUCUCUCUCUCUCUCCUCGUUUCUUUCCUUCUCUCUCUUAGGGUUUGUUAAAUCUUGUUAUUCUUGUGAUCUUGUGUUAAGAUCAUUGUUCGUAGAAUAGAUCAGAGAUUGCAGAUCAUCGUGUUGAUGAUCUGCGUGUGAGUUGAGAGGUCUUUUCAGUUUAGUUUCUUGUUCUUUUGUUCAAAGCUGUUGUACAGUGAAACCAUAGAAACACAUGUAUGUGUGAAUGUUGAAGAAAGCAAAAAGCAAAUUAGAUGGAAUUGCGCACUUGAUAACGGAGUGGGCUAGUGGCGUGGAUAAUAGAUGACUGUAGUUGGCCUUGUAAGGAGAUUGAGCUAGCGCAAGUUCCCGCCAAACAUGAUGAGUUAAGUCACAACAGGGUCAGUUACCCAGUCUUACAUUUGUGCUACUUUACAUUAUUCUAUUGGAAUUAUAUCUUUUUUAUUAUCAUUUAUAUAUUGAUUAACAGUUAAUAACAGCCACUCCUUUGUGUACUAACCCACACCCCAUGUUCAAUAUAAUAAAAAUAGGUGCAACUUUUUUAUAAAAAUUACCAUAUAUAUGUAUAUAUAUUUGUUUUUCUAGAAUCCUUUUUCAACUUUUUUUAUAAAAACUACCAUAUAUAUGUAUAUAUAUUUGUUUUUUAGAAUCCUUUUUCAAUAUAAAAAAUAGGUACAGGAAUGAAAGCUACUUGAAUUUAAGUUUACCAGCUUGGGUUGUUUUGACUCUUUAACAGAUUUUCGAUCUUGCAUGAAAGAAAACUAAUUAGAUGUUUGGAUAUAACUUUUAAAAUGUGUAACUGUGAAGAAAAGAUAAAAGGAGCAAACCUUCAUUUCUGAAUGAUCAUGUCUUCCAGGCGUUUGAAUCGUGGUGAUCUGCUCGUUGACAUGCACAUUGGUUCAGCGUUCUACAUUUGUAUGUCGGCUCCAUCUUAG
rnacentral:lncRNA from 1 species